rnacentral:rRNA from 1 species
AGCGAACGUUAGCGGCGGGCUUAACACAUGCAAGUCGAGCGAGAAAGUGGCUUCGGCCACGAGUAAAGCGGCGGACGGGUGAGUAACACGUAGGUAAUCUUCCCUUGAGCGGGGGACAACGAGCCGAAAGGCUCGCUAAUACCGCAUACGUUCCCAGCGGCUCUGGCCGUUGGGAGGAAAGCUAGGCAGCAAUGUCCGGCACUCGAGGAGGAGCCUGCGUCGCAUCAGCUAGUUGGUGGGGUAACGGCCUACCAAGGCGAAGACGCGUAGCUGGUCUGAGAGGAUGAUCAGCCACACUGGGACUGAGACACGGCCCAGACUCCUACGGGAGGCAG